rnacentral:rRNA from 1 species
ACUCCUACGGGAGGCAGCAGUGGGGAAUAUUGGACAAUGGGCGAAAGACCUGAUCCAGCCAUGCCGCGUGUGUGAAGAAGGUCUUCGGAUUGUAAAGCACUUUAAGUUGGGUAGGAAGGGUUGUAGAUUAAUACUCUGCAAUUUUGUACGUUACCGACCAGAAUAAGCACCGGCUAACUCUGUGCCAGCAGCCGCGGUAAUACAGAGGGUGCAAGCGUUAAUCGGAAUUACUGGGCGUAAAGCGCGCGUAGGUGGUUCGUUAAGUUGGUAUGUGAAAUCCCCGGGGCUCAACCUGGGAACUGCAUUCAAAACUGUCGAGCUAGAGUAUGGUAGAGGGUGGUGGAAUUUCCUGUGUAGCGGUGAAAUGCGUAGAUAUAGGAAGGAACACCAGUGGCGAAGGCGACCACCUGGACUGAUACUGACACUGAGGUGCGAAAGCGUGGGGAGCGAAACAGGAUUAGAUACCCU